UUGAGUUGUAGAAAAUGGGAUUUGGUGGUUCCUACAGUAUGCUUUUAAAUGUUUUCUAAUGAUGUUCACAUGACAAAAUUCUUGUGCAUUUUCGUUUACCUUGGUUCAUUUGUGGAAGAGAUAAUCUUAGGCAUUGUGAUUGUCAUGCAGUAGCAGGAUUUUUUACUAAUUGGGUAAAAUUAAAACAUUAUUAUAACACUGAAUGAAGGAUCAUCUUUUAGAGUACAGUCAGUAUGAUUCUAAUG
rnacentral:misc_RNA from 1 species